UACGUAGGGACCAAGCGUUGUUCGGAUUUACUGGGCGUAAAGGGCGCGUAGGCGGCGUGACAAGUCACUUGUGAAAUCUCCGGGCUUAACUCGGAACGGCCAAGUGAAAACUGUCAUGCUAGAGUGCAGAAGGGGGCAAUCGGAAUUCUUGGUGUAGCGGUGAAAAUGCGUAGAUAUCUGGAGGAACACCGGUGGCGAAGGCGGCAUCCUGGACCGGCAUUGACGCUGAGGAGCGAAAGCCAGGGGGAGCAAACGGG
rnacentral:rRNA from 1 species